rnacentral:rRNA from 1 species
UUUUCGCAAUGCCCGAAAGGGUGACGAAGCGACGCCGCGUGGGUGAGGAAGGCCUUCGGGUUGUAAAGCCCUGUCAGGAGUUAAGAAAUGUAAGUGCGCUAAUAUCGCAUUUAUUUGACGAAGGCUCCAAAGGAAGCCACGGCUAACUCUGUGCCAGCAGCCGCGGUAAUACAGAGGUGGCAAGCGUUGUUCGGGAUUAUUGGGCGUAAAGAGCACGUAGGUGGGUUUGUAAGUCAGAUGCGAAAGCCUUCUGUUCAACGGAAGAAUUGCAUCUGAAACUACAAGUCUUGAGUGUAGGAGGGGAGAAUGGAACUUCUGGUGGAGCGGUGAAAUGCGUAGAUAUCAGAAGGAACGCCGGCGGCGAAAGCGAUUCUCUGGCCUAUUACUGACACUCAGUGUGCGAAAGCUAGGGGAGCAAACGGGAUUAGAUACCCCGGUAGUCCUAGCCGUAAACGAUGGGCACUAAGUAGAGGGGUU